rnacentral:rRNA from 1 species
AAAGGUGGAAUUAGGUCUGUUUUUAUUCAUAAAUAACUGGAGUUGAAGCUAAAAAUUUUUAGAUUUAAACUAGGAUUAGAUACCCUACUAUACUAAAGAGUAAAGAGAGUGAACCAGAUUAUUAAUAGAUAUGUUCUUUAAAUUUAAAGAAUUUGGCGGUGAUUUAGUCUUGUCAGAGGAACCUGUUUUUGAAUCGAUAAUCCACGUGGGAUCUUACUUGAGUUUAUAUACCGUCAUUAACAGACAAUUUUUAAAGAAUAAAUUGUUAAAAUUUAUAAUGUUAAAGAAAAUUAGAUCAAGGUGUAGCUUAUGGACAAGUUAAAAUGGGUUACAAUAAAUUAUAUUUAUGAACGGAAUAAUUAUUAAUAAGGAGGAUUUGAUUGUAUAUAAGUUUAAUAUGCUUAGGAGAGAUAAGCUCUAAAUCAUGUACAUAUCGCCCGUCGCUUUC